rnacentral:rRNA from 1 species
UCUCAAAGAUUAAGCCAUGCAUGUGUCAGUGCAAGCCUUUCUUUACGGUGAAACCGCGAAUGGCUCAUUAAAUCAGUCAUUAUCCGUUGGACUUUAUGGAACCGUGUCCUUACUCGGAUAACUGUGGUAAUUCUAGAGCUAAUACGUGCCACGAGUUCCCAAAGUGUCUCUCGUAGCAUUAGUAGGACGCAAUUAUUAGAUCCAAAAAUUGUACCGAUCUUUAACUUGGUGUAAAAUUUGGUGAAUCUGGAUAAUCACAGCAGAGCGCUUAAUUCGUGCCGGCGCCUGACCUUUGAAGAGUCUGCCCUAUCAGCUUGAUUGUAGAUUAAAUGUCUACAAUGGCUAUAACGGGUAACGGGGAAUCAGGGUUCGAUUCCGGAGAGGGAGCCUGAGAAACGGCUACCACAUCUAAGGAAGGCAGCAGGCACGCAAAUUGCUCAAUCUUAGCUCGAGGAAGCAGUGACAAAAUAUCUUGAUGCGGGACUCUUCCGAGGCCUCGCAAUCAGGAUGCGUUUACUUAAAGCAGUAAGCUGAACGCAAUUGGAGGGCAAGUCUGGUGCCAGCAGCCGCGGUAAUUCCAGCUCCAAUAGCGUAUAUUUAAGUUGCUGCGGUUAAAAAGCUCGUAGUUGGACUUUAUACUCGGGCGGACCAGCCCUCGGCGCGGGGCGUAAACUGCGUCCGUCACCGAGUGUAUAUGAGACCGCCGAUACUUUUUAAUCUAUAGCCGUAGGUGCCCUUUGUUGGGUGAGGUACAUUCCUCAACAAAGUUUCGGCUCUAUCACUUUGAAAAAAUUAGAGUGCUCAACGCACUCAUUGCAUAAUUGCCUGAAUGGUAGUGCAUGGAAUGAUGGAAGAUGAUCUCUGCCUCGUUAAGUUAAAAAAGGAACUUGUUUUUUUCUUUGCACCGAGUAAAGAUUCGAGGUUUGAGAUAAUGAUUAAAGGGAACUGCCGGGGGCGUUUGUAUUACGGCGCUAGAGGUGAAAUUCUUGGACCGUCGUAAGACAAACUACUGCGAAAGCAUUCGCCAAGAAUGUUUUCAUUAAUCAAGAACGAAAGUUAGAGUUUAGAAGGAGAUCAGAUACCUCCCUAUUUCUAACCGUAAACUAUGCUAACCAGUUGUCCGUCGGAAGUCAUUUCCGAUGGACGAGCGACCCAAGGGAAACCAGAGUUUCUGAGUUCCGGGGGAAGUAUGGUUGCAAAGCUGAAACUUAAAGGAAUUGACGGAAGGGCACCACCAGGAGUGGAGCCUGCGGCUUAAUUUGACUCAACACGGGAAAACUCACCAGGCCCAGAAACAUUUAGGAUUGACAGAUUGAAAGCUCUUUCAUGAUUAUGAGGAUGGUGGUGCAUGGCCGUCUUAGUUGGUGGAGCGAUCUGUCUGGUUAAUUCCGAUAACGAACGAGAUUCUCGUUUACUAAAUAGAAGGUAGAUCUGAUCCCGGAGGUCCUUGCCGAGGCUUAUGACGGGUAGUCUAUUUCUUCUUAGAAAAAUCAAUGGUGCUCUAAUCAGUUGACAGGAAGAGCAAUAACAGGUCUGUGAUGCCCUUAGAUGUUCUGGGCCGCACGCGCGCUACAAUGCACGGUGCAACACGUCCCCCUUCUCCUUAACGGAGUGGGUAACCGGUUCAAAUCCGGGCCUACUUGGGAUUGGGGCUUGCAAAUAUUUCCCAUGAACGAGGAAUUCCCAGUAAGCGUUGGCUCAUUUAAGUCGCGCUGAUUACGUCCCUGCCCUUUGUACACACCGCCCGUCGCUACUACCGAUUGAAUGAUUCAGUGAGAACAUUGGACUGUCGCCCUAAUAGUAUGGGCUGACGGAAAGAUGUUCAAACUUGAUC